AUUGAACGCUGGCGGCAGGCCUAACACAUGCAAGUCGAGCGGAUGAAGGGAGCUUGCUCCUGGAUUCAGCGGCGGACGGGUGAGUAAUGCCUAGGAAUCUGCCUGGUAGUGGGGGAUAACGUCCGGAAACGGGCGCUAAUACCGCAUACGUCCUGAGGGAGAAAGUGGGGGAUCUUCGGACCUCACGCUAUCAGAUGAGCCUAGGUCGGAUUAGCUAGUUGGUGGGGUAAAGGCCUACCAAGGCGACGAUCCGUAACUGGUCUGAGAGGAUGAUCAGUCACAGUGGAAUUAGGAAGCGGUCCAUACCCCUACGGGAGGGACGGGGGGGGAAUAUUGGGAAAGGGGGGAGAGCGUGACCCAGCCAGCCGGGGGGGGUAAAGAGGUUGUACGGUUUGAAAAGUAUUUUAAGUGGGGGGAAGGGAAGUAAAUUUAUUACCUUGUUUUUUUGACGUUACCAAAAAAAAAAGCCCCGGAUAACUUCGUC
rnacentral:rRNA from 1 species